CCUACGGGUCGCACCAGUUGCGAAACCUUCACACUGUGGGAAACCACGAUGAGGGGAUUCCAAGUGCCAACACCAAGUGUUGGCUUUUCAUGUGUGUAAAAAGCAGAUGGAAUAAGGGCCGGGUAAGACGGGUGCCAGCCGCCGCGGUAACACCCGCGGCCCGAGUGGUGACCAAUAUUAUUGAGCUUAAAGCGUCCGUAGCCGGUCUGGUAAAUCUCUGGGUAAAUCGAGCGGCUCAAUCGUUCGAAUUCCAGGGAGACUGCUAGACUUGGGGCCGGGAGAGGCUAGAGGUACUUCCGGGGUAGAAGUAAAAUUCCGUAAUCCUGGAAGGACCACCAGUGGCGAAAGCGUCUAGCUAGAACGGACCCGACGGUGAGGGACGAAGCCCUGGGGCGCGAACCGGAUUAGAUACCCUAGUAGUC
rnacentral:rRNA from 1 species